GGAGAAGGCGGCGGCGGGGGGGCGCUGGGGGUCGUGCCGGGGCGGGCUCCCCCCGGUGCCACCGGUGCUGCCCUGGACUGGUCCGUCCUGGACAAGGACCACGACCUCUUCCCGCGGGGAGGCUCCUCGCACUUCGAGUUCCCGGACUAUUGCACGCCCGAGGUGACGGAGAUGAUAGCGGGGGACUGGCUCAUGUCCAGCAUCUCGGACUUGGUCUUUACCUACUGAGUCCCGCGCUCUGCAGGUAACACCCCGUUUCUUGUUUUACUCCCCCCACAAUCAGGUCAUAUCUAUAAAAUAAGAACCGAAACCAGCUGUUUACAUGCAGGAAUCAGGUAUUUUGCCUUGAAGGCGCUGGAAGGCAGAGCUCCCGCUCACCCACCCCCGGCACACACCAGCUCCUCGUCCGACCGUCUGCCCCGCGCUCGGACGUGUGGCUGCUCACAUCUCAUCGGGGUUUUAUUGCCAGGGCCUGGCCCCUUCCCAUGGCUGCUCCCAUCCCCACCAGCCAUUCCCUCCUGCUCUCCAGCAGCCGGAGCACUCACAGCGGCCCUCGGCGCCCAUCCCAUCCUCCCCAUCCCUUGGGGAAUGGCCGAUUCCUUCUGCGUUUUGACCGCAUUUCAAGCACGGCUUCAAUUUCCUCCUCCUCCCUGACGCAGCCCCUGGGGAUGGAUGGAGGGAGGCAGAGCCCCACCGAGCCCUCCCUGCCCGACACCCCAUUCCCUGGGUGUCCCUGGCCGUGGGGGUUCCGUAUCCCACGGGACCAGCGCUUUCCCUGUGCCACACGCUCCCGGCCGCUCGCUUUGGGAAGAGCGAAGUUGGGCGCACGUGACGCGCACGUGGUGCGGGAGGUUGUGUUGUUCCUCUCGCCGGGCGGUUGUGCGGAGGAGGCUGUGCCCAGAGCCACCCCGAAUUCCAGCUGGAACCAGCCCUUCCCACGGCAGCCAGUCCCUAUUCUAGCCUUGGAGCCAGUGCCCACACAGGACAUGCUCCACUCUGGCUCGCUUUGGCCGGUGGAGCAGGUCCCACCGUGCUCGGCUGCAGUGGGCGAUGGUGCUGGCGUGGCAGAGAGAAUGCUGCUGGAAUUCUGCCUUAAGCAACCACCCAAACGGGGCCCAGAGCAGCAGCAGCCGGUGCCGUGGGUGAUGCUCCGUCAUGGGGCUUCCUCCACAUGGCACCAUGGGAGCAGGAGCAUCCCGGCAGAGUGCUGCCGAGCAGCUUCCCGGCAGGAGCAGCCCUUCCACAGUGGCUCCUCCAGCCGGGCUUGUCUUUGCUUUUCCUAAUGGCUCCUUCCUGCAACGAGCCGCCUCCUCCCGCUGCCGGGGAGCACGUGGCUGUGGCUGUGGCUGCAGCACCGGCUGCGGCUGUGGGGCAGGGGCUGUGCUUGGGUAGGGCCAUGCUGUGUGUGUGGGGCUGGUGAGGACCCCGGGCACCCCAAGUGCCAGCCCUGGGGACAUGGCCAUGGCCAUCAGCACCCGGAGGGGCUGCAGUGGGCUCAGUGGGGUCCUCUGCUUGAAGCAGCCUCUGAGGUCCCCCGUUGCCUUGAGUCUUCUCAAGGCAUCCUCCAGAGGGGAUGCAGGAGCCCCGCUGGCCCUUCCCGGGGUACCAGGGCAGUGGGGGUGCUGCAUCCCUGUUCUGGGGCUGCGGUUCCUCCAGCCACAGCUGCCCAUUGCCAUGGGGCUGCCAUGACCAUGGGAAGGGCAUCACCCCCCUCCAGGGUCCUGGCACCCCCCCCAGUGCAGCUCGGAGCAGGGACCUGCCCUGAUGCCCUGGCAAAGGUCCCUUCAAGGGAUGCUCCGUGUCCCCCAUCCCGGGCGGCCUCGGGGUCCCCUGGAGCCCCC
ensembl:lncRNA